ensembl:processed_transcript
GGUUUGGCUGUUUGGAGGUUACCCAGAAUGGAAUAUCAGAGCACCUGGAGGAACCCACGCAAAGAAUAUGCAAACUCAACACAGAAAUCAGCCAGGACUUGAACCAGCAACCUUCUUGCUGUGAGGUGACAGUGCUAACCACACUGCCCUUCUCAAAUCUCCAUUCAUUUUUUUUCUUAUUUCACCAAUCAUCUAACACACAGAAUUACUGUAAGAUAUAUCUGUGUUGACCUAAUGAAACUUGUGUUGAGGAUGCUGCACUACCUCCAUAUCCUCCUUGUGAAGGCAUGAGUUGGAAACAUCCUCCAGCUUCCAAAAAGGGCCUUCACCACACAACAAGUGGGCAUUAAGAAAGUUCGUUCACGAAGGAUGGGUGUAAGAGACAACUAUUUCUAAACUCUUCUUCAUUAAAAACACGUUUGAGAGAAAUCUGAAAAGAACGCCACAUCCCAGCUGUAUCCAAAUAUGAUUUCAACAAUGUCAUUAUCAUCAUCAACAUCACCAUCAUCAUCAUCAGUUCAGCUGCUAAAGAACAGUCUUUUGCUCCUGCCUGCUCACAGUGUCCUCACUGCUAUGCAUUGUUUGCUCUCAUUAAGCAAGGUUUGAUGAUGAGAAGUCCAGCUGCACACCAAGCCCACCUGUUCUAAGCACAAUGCCAAUCACUCCUCACCCAGCGGUCGUGGGCAGCUGCAGGAGCGGGCACAGCCUGGCUGGCACAGUCACAACAGCAAAUUUAAUCAUGCCCGAUGCUGUACGUUUCACAGCAGUGCCAUGAGUUCUGUUGAGUUACAGUGAGUUAUGUAAUUGUU